rnacentral:misc_RNA from 1 species
GAUGAAGAACGCAGCGAAAUGCGAUAAGUAAUGUGAAUUGCAGAAUCCAGUGAAUCAUCGAAUCUUUGAACGCACAUUGCGCCCGCCAGCAUUCUGGCGGGCAUGCCUGUUCGAGCGUCAUUUCAAUCCUCGACCUCCCUUUGGGGAAGUCGGCGUUGGGGACCGGCAGCACACCGCCGGCCCUGAAAUGGAGUGGCGGCCCGUCCGCGGCGACCUCUGCGUAGUAAUCCAACUCGCACCGGAACCCCGACGCGGCCACGCCGUAAAACACCCAACUUCUGAACGUUGACCUCGAAUCAGGUAGGACUACCCGCUGAACUUAAGCAUAUCAAUAAGCGGAGGA